AGAGUUUGAUCCUGGCUCAGAUUGAACGCUGGCGGCAGGCCUAACACAUGCAAGUCGAGCGGAUGAGUGGAGCUUGCUCCAUGAUUCAGCGGCGGACGGGUGAGUAAUGCCUAGGAAUCUGCCUGGUAGUGGGGGACAACGUUUCGAAAGGAACGCUAAUACCGCAUACGUCCUACGGGAGAAAGCAGGGGACCUUCGGGCCUUGCGCUAUCAGAUGAGCCUAGGUCGGAUUAGCUAGUAGGUGAGGUAAUGGCUCACCUAGGCGACGAUCCGUAACUGGUCUGAGAGGAUGAUCAGUCACACUGGAACUGAGACACGGUCCAGACUCCUACGGGAGGCAGCAGUGGGGAAUAUUGGACAAUGGGCGAAAGCCUGAUCCAGCCAUGCCGCGUGUGUGAAGAAGGUCUUCGGAUUGUAAAGCACUUUAAGUUGGGAGGAAGGGCAGUAAGUUAAUACCUUGCUGUUUUGACGUUACCAACAGAAUAAGCACCGGCUAACUUCGUGCCAGCAGCCGCGGUAAUACGAAGGGUGCAAGCGUUAAUCGGAAUUACUGGGCGUAAAGCGCGCGUAGGUGGUUCAGCAAGUUGGAGGUGAAAUCCCCGGGCUCAACCUGGGAACUGCCUCCAAAACUACUGAGCUAGAGUACGGUAGAGGGUAGUGGAAUUUCCUGUGUAGCGGUGAAAUGCGUAGAUAUAGGAAGGAACACCAGUGGCGAAGGCGACUACCUGGACUGAUACUGACACUGAGGUGCGAAAGCGUGGGGAGCAAACAGGAUAAGAUACCCUGGUAGUCCACGCCGUAAACGAUGUCG
rnacentral:rRNA from 1 species